UACGGAGGGGGCAAGCGUUGUUCGGAUUUACUGGGCGUAAAGGGAGCGUAGGCGGUCGAUUAAGUCUGAUGUGAAAGCUUUACCACUCAACGGAAAGAGGUCAUCGGAUACUGGUCGACUAGAGUAAGGUAGAGGCAAGCGGAAUUCCUGGUGUAGCGGUGGAAUGUGUAGAUAUCAGGAAGAACACCGGUGGCGAAGGCGGCUUGCUGGGCCUUUACUGACGCUGAGGCUCGAAAGCGUGGGGAGCAAA
rnacentral:rRNA from 1 species